UGGAGUGCACCAAGAUGGUGGCCCCCGUGGAUCUGGAGUUGAAGAAGACCUUCGCAGAGCUUCAAGCCAAAGCUAUUGACACUCAGCUGAAGAUGAAGCUUGCAGACAUACAGAUUGAACAGCUAAACCGAACAAAAAAGCAUGCACAUCUUACAGAUACAGAGAUCAUGGCUUUGGUAGAUGAGACUAACAUGUACGAAGGUGUAGGAAGAAUGUUUAUUCUUCAAUCCAAGGAGGUAAUUCACAAUCAGCUGUUAGAGAAACAGAAAAUAGCAAUUAAAAUUAAAGAACUAGAGCAGAAGAAACCCUACCUGGAACGGAGCAUUAAAGAAGCUGAGGACAAUAUCCAGGAGAUGCCGAUGGCACAAAGGGGCCAGCAGCGAACCUCUAGGGGAAGCUCUUCCUCCUGCUCUCCUAUUCCUGGCAAAGGUGGAGAGUUGCUUGUGGGCCAGUCCAGGACUUAUAAACCCCGAACACAUGUACGAACAAUUGCAGUUGUCUCCUCUCUGGCCACCUCAAUGUGGACUCUGAUCCUUCUGAGGUCCUGGAUCCUAUUCACCAACGUGGGUAUGCCCCGGUGCCUCUACCUCAUGACCACUCCUGAAAAGGUCACCUUGCCACCAAACAUGAGACCAGGAGGCCUGGAGCUGUGCCUGAGAGCAGCUGCAAGUCGUUUCGUCUGCAUAGUUGAGUGUGGCAGGAACCGGGAUCCCACUUCACCCUAA